AAAGCUCAAAUUUAAAAUCUGGUAGUCUUUGGCUGCCCGAGUUGUAAUCUAGAGAAGCGUUAUCCGUGCUGGACCGUGUAUAAGUCUUCUGGAAUGGAGCGUCAUAGAGGGUGAGAAUCCCGUCUUUGACACGGACUACCAGUGCUUUGUGAUGCGCUCUCAAAGAGUCGAGUUGUUUGGGAAUGCAGCUCUAAAUGGGUGGUAAAUUCCAUCUAAAGCUAAAUAUUGGCGAGAGACCGAUAGCGAA
rnacentral:rRNA from 1 species